AUGCGCUGGCGGCAGGCUUACACAUGCCCCUGUUGAGGUAGAGGGAAGCUUGCUUCUCUUCGAGAUGCGGCGGACGGGUGAGUAAUGCCUAGAAUCUGCCUAGUGGUGGGGGAUAACGUUCGGAAACGGACGCUAAUACCGCAUACGUCCUACGGGAGAAAGCGGGGGACCUUCGGGCCUCGCGCCAUUAGAUGAGCCUAGGUCGGAUUAGCUAGUUGGUGAGGUAAUGGCUCACCAAGGCUACGAUCCGUAACUGGUCUGAGAGGAUGAUCAGUCACACUGGAACUGAGACACGGUCCAGACUCCUACGGGAGGCAGCAGUGGGGAAUAUUGGACAAUGGGCGAAAGCCUGAUCCAGCCAUGCCGCGUGUGUGAAGAAGGUCUUCGGAUUGUAAAGCACUUUAAGUUGGGAGGAAGGGUAGUAACUUAAUACGUUGCUACUUUGACGUUACCGACAGAAUAAGCACCGGCUAACUUCGUGCCAGCAGCCGCGGUAAUACGAAGGGUGCAAGCGUUAAUCGGAAUUACUGGGCGUAAAGCGCGCGUAGGUGGUUCAGUAAGUUGGAUGUGAAAUCCCCGGGCUCAACCUGGGAACUGCCAUCCAAAAACUGCUGAGCUAAGUACGGUAGCAGGGUAGUGGAAUUUCCUGUGUAGCGGGUGAAAUGCGUACAUUUAGGAGGAACACCAGUGGGCGAAGGCAACUACUGGACUGAUACUGACCNUGAG
rnacentral:rRNA from 1 species